rnacentral:rRNA from 1 species
GGGUUUCCGCCCUUCAGUGCUGCAGCAAACGCAUUAAGCACUCCGCCUGGGGAGUACGACCGCAAGGUUGAAACUCAAAGGAAUUGACGGGGGCCCGCACAAGCGGUGGAGCAUGUGGUUUAAUUCGAAGCAACGCGAAGAACCUUACCAGGUCUUGACAUCCUUUGACCACUCUAGAGAUAGAGCUUUCCCUUCGGGGACAAAGUGACAGGUGGUGCAUGGUUGUCGUCAGCUCGUGUCGUGAGAUGUUGGGUUAAGUCCCGCAACGAGCGCAACCCUUAUUGUUAGUUGCCAUCAUUCAGUUGGGCACUCUAGCGAGACUGCCGGUGACAAACCGGAGGAAGGUGGGGAUGACGUCAAAUCAUCAUGCCCCUUAUGACCUGGGCUACACACGUGCUACAAUGGGAAGUACAACGAGUCGCUAGACCGCGAGGUCAUGCAAAUCUCUUAAAGCUUCUCUCAGUUCGGAUUGCAGGCUGCAACUCGCCUGCAUGAAGCCGGAAUCGCUAGUAAUCGCGGAUCAGCACGCCGCGGUGAAUACGUUCCCGGGCCUUGUACACACCGCCCGUCACACCACGAGAGUUUGUAACACCCGAAGUCGGUGAGGUAACCUUUUUGGAGCCAGCCGCCUAAGGUGGGAUAGAUGAUUGGGGUGAAGUCGUAACAAGGUAGCCGUAUCGGAAGGUGCGGCUG